ACCUACCUUUCAUUCUAGAUUUAUUGGAUUUGAUAAUGUAACAACUUACAUAAAUUCAAUACGCAGAAAAUAUGCCAAGGUUACUAGUUCUAUGCAGAUAAGAAAUAUCAGUAUCUUCAGUAUCUUUAUUAUCUUCUGAAACUUCAAAAAGAUGAGAGGAAUUAUUGGUCUAAUAUGCUUGGUUGGGUUCAGUGCUGCAGGAAAAGGUAAAUAUAACUUUCUUAAAGGGACUGUAACAGUAUUUACAUAUUUACCAUUAGUUUUAAUCUGACAUUCAAAUAGACAGAAAGAAAAGAGAGAGUGAUUAGCCCCGAUCAAAUGAAUUCUCCAACUGUUUAGCUCCGAUCAAAUGUAUUCUCCAACUGUCAAGCUCCAAACAAUAGUAUUUUCCAAUUGUUGAGCUUUGAUCAAAACUAUUCUCUAAUUGAUUAACUACGAUCAAAUAUAUAUUUCCAAAUUCCAAGUGAUUAACUCAGAUGAAAUGUAUUCUCUGAUAGUUUAUAGUUUCGAUAAAAUGUAUUCUCUGAUUGUUUAGCUUCAAUGAAAUGUAUUCUCCGAUUGUUGAGCUUCGAUGAAAUGUAUUCUCCGAUUGUUUAGCUCCGAUAAAAUGUAUUCUCUGAUUGUUUAACUUCGAUGAAAUGUAUUCUCCGAUUGUUUAGCUUCUAUUAAAUGUAUUCUCGAUUGUUUAUUGUUUAGCUCCGAUUAAAUGUAUUCUCCGAUUGUUUAGCGCCAAUGAAAUGUAUUCUCCGAUUGUUUAGUUUCGUUGAAAUGUAUUCUCCGAUUGUUUAGCUUCGAUGAAAUGUAUUCUGCAAUUGUAGAGCUCACCUAAAAUGUAUUCUUCGAUUGUUAAAGCUUCGAUGAAAUGUAUUCUCCGAUUGUUUAGCUUCGAUGACAUGUAUUCUCCGAUUGUUUAACUUCGAUGAAAUGUAUUCUCCGAUUGUUUAAUUUUGAUAAAAAUGUAUUCUCCGAUUGUUUAGUUUCGAUGAAAUGUAUUCUCUGAUUGUUUAGCUUC